AUGACGUACAAGUCCCUCAUCGGUCCCUUAUCGGUAGGGCUUCACACGUCAUACAAUGGCGGUACAGAGGGUUGCCAAGCCGCGAGGUGGAGCCAAUCCCAGAAAGCCGAUCGUAGUCCGGAUUGUUCUCUGCAACUCGAGAGCAUGAAGUCGGAAUCGCUAGUAAUCGCGGAUCAGCAUGUCGCGGUGAAUACGUUCCCGGGUCUU
rnacentral:rRNA from 1 species